ACUCCCAUUUCUCAAAGGUGAGUACGAAAUAUGUGAGGUAUGGCUAUGGUUUAGGCCUAUUCUCAUAGGUGAAUCACCAAUUCCAAAUAUCUCUUGCAUAAUUUGGCCAUAACUAUGAAAGAUUCCAUUCAAUUUCAUCCAAUUCAUAACCA